rnacentral:misc_RNA from 1 species
AAGAUGUCGGACAGCGAUGUUCGAGCUCUCUGUGAUGAAUUCUGGCAGUGGAGAAUGCGACAGAGCCCCGAGUUUGCAUCAUUCUGUGGAGAUCAGCGGUACUCUCAUCUGUUAGAUGAGAUCGAUACGAAAGCUUUUCUCAGUUUUGAGUCAGAUGUCUGCAAGCUUUUGAAAAAAGCAGAAGAUAUACAAGUGAACAAUUUAUCAAGCAGUUGCAAGACUGACUUGCUUCUAAUGAAGGAUCAACUGCAGACAUUUCAAAAUGGAAUGGCAUACAAGGGUUGGUACUUUCCAAUCAACUUUAUGGAAGGCUUGCAUGCUGAUGUUCCUAAGGUUAUAAGCAUGAGCCCAGCUAAUACAGAGGAAGACUUCAGAAAUCUGAAUAAAAGAAUUGAAUGUUAUGGAAAAAAGGCAAAAAGUUGUAUACAGAUUUUAAAGGAAGGUGUUGAAAAUGGCUAUGUUAAUCACCGAUACUCUGUAGAAAUAGUACCAGAUCAAAUAAACGAGAUGAUCAGUGCUGACCUUACCCCAGAAAAAGAUGCCUUUCUUUCUCCUUACAAGAAGUGUCCAACAGGGAAUAUAGAAUCCACAAUAUGGGAUAAACUCUUGGAGGAAGCCAAAGACAUUGUCAGAACGUGUGUGAGACCAAGCUUUAAAGAGCUGGCCGAAUACAUAAAAAAUGACUAUAUGAAACACACCCGCCCAAGUAUUGCUCACAGCUCCCUCCCCAAUGGCCAGGCCCUGUAUCAAGCCUGUCUGGAUUUCCAUCUCUCCCUCUCAAUGACCCCAAAAGAGGUGUUUGACCUUGGGCAGGCAGAGGUAGAAAGGAUCACCCAGGCAAUGAGGAAAAUUGCCAGAGAGGAGGGAUAUGGAGAUGAUGUAGCCAAGUUCAAGGAAGCCCUUGGGAAAAGAGAAGAAUUUUUCUUUAAAACUCCUGAAGAUCUUUUGGAAUAUGUCAACCACAUCUGUCGAGAGGAAAUCCAACCUAAAUUACCACUGUUAUUUAAAGAAUUUCCAAGCUCUAAACUAAGGUAAAUUUGACAAACAAUACCUGAUAUCCAGAAGUAUCAAAUAUACAUUAUAUGUAGAAGUCAUAUUUCAUUAUAAAAUACAUGUAACAAUUAUUAUAAGUUUUUUUCCUCUUUCAUGUAGUGAAACUAUUAAAUCUCCUUUUUCAUGUUUGUUGCCUUAAUUCGAAUUUCCAUCCCUUUUUUCUGCUUAGCUGUUAUUAAUUAUAUCUGUAAUAGGUGCCUAAAUAGAGCCCCGCUUUUAGUAUUUUCAGUACUUUGAUUUAUCCCCAUAGUUUCCUUGUUGUUUAAAUGCUUUUAGAUAAUGAAAUAGAGAAACCAGUAAUUCACCAGAACUUGAAUUAUUCAAAAACAUGAAACAUAUGAUAGCAGAAGAAUGUGUUAAACCUCCCUGAAAAUUUUAUUCUUAUAUCAUUAUAUUCAAAUGAGCUUUGUCAAAUUUAAAAAAGAAAGUUUUUAAACAACUGUUUUUCACUUUAAGAAGGCUUGAUGGCUGUGCAUUAGUAAUCUCUACUCCAUUUCUGUCUUCUUGAGAAUUGAACAGACCCCUCCUUCGAUGGCCAGUGGUCCUGCCGCAUUUUACUUCAGUGGUUCUCCGGACGGAUCCAGACCUGGAGUAUACUUCAUCCGAACAACAAACCUGAAAGGAAGUCCAAAGUAUGAACUGAUGGCUCUAAGUCUGCAUGAAGGGGAGCCAGGCCACCAUUUUCAGACAAUGACUUCAAUGGAGAUGAAGGACAUCCAUGCCUUCAGGAGAGCUCAGGAAGACAUGAACUAUGCAUGGGUGCCCUCUAGAUUUCCUUUGUAUACGGCAUAUCUAGAGGUAUGUUAGAGAAUUUCAAAGUAAUGUAAUAAUUCAAUCCACAUUGUCUUUAGAUGAUUAGACUCAUAAUUAAUGUAACUGACUUUUAUUUACUAAUGUUACCUUAUUUCUUUGUAAUAUGACAUUUUAUUCAAAAAUUCUGUUUGUUGUAUAACAUACAUGUAUCAGGAAUAUUGUCUGAAGUAAAUUCUUAAAUUUUACUUUCCGUGUUCAUAUACAUGUAUGUUCUCCGAUAUACAAUGCACUAUGCAUGUAAAAAUGUGUUGCAUACAUUUUCAAUAAAUGUAGGGAUGGGGUUUGUACUGUGAGUAUCUUGGAGAAGAACUUGGAAUGUACAAAGACAACUACUCUUUAUUUGGAAGAUAUUGUAUGGAGAUAAUGAGAGCAGCACGGUUAGUGGUGGACACAGGAAUGCACGCUUUUGGCUGGUCCUAUGAAAAAGCUCUUAACUUCUUGGAAGAGAAAACAUUUUUGGAUAGAAAAUCCCUGGAGAUGGAAUGUAAACGAUACAUAACCAUACCAGGGCAGGCAUGUGCUUACAAAGUGGGGGAAAUCAAGAUCAAGCAGCUCAGACAAAAAGCCACGGAAGCAUUAGGGAACCAAUUUGAUGUUAGGGAUUUUCAUUCUGUGAUUUUGAGAUGUGGGGCUGGACCAAUGAGUUUUCUGGAACAGGAAGUUGACGAAUACAUUAGACAAAAACUUAUAAAAUAGUGACAUUUAAUAUAAUACACCAUUAUUACAUGUAUAUUCAUAUAUGGUAGUCUAAUGCUCUUGAACGAAUGUAUCCCAUUUCAUUGAAUAUAUCUCUUGACAUACUCAUAGAAUAUGUCUCUUGGGCAUUAUUUGUUUGAAAUAGUUUUUUUAUGUACAUUAUCUUUUGUUGUUUGGUUAGUUAAAAAUUGAUUCAACUAUAAACUGGAUUAAACAGUUAACGGUUUAUAAACAAUAAAGAGGAGGAAUAUUUUAAAUUGAAAAUAUCUGAAAUAAAGUAUAAGAUUGUGUACAUGUAAGUUAGUUUUGAAAUAAGAUUUAUGUUUUCUUUAUAGAGGUGCAAUAAGAAACAAAUCUCAUGUGCGUAUACACAGGGGUUGUAAAUGCAUUAAGUUUAAAAAAAAAAAAAAAGAUU